rnacentral:rRNA from 1 species
UACGGGGGGGGCAAGCGUUGUUCGGAAUUACUGGGCGUAAAGGGCUCGUAGGCGGCCAACUAAGUCAGACGUGAAAUCCCUCGGCUUAACCGGGGAACUGCGUCUGAUACUGGAUGGCUCGAGUUUGGGAGAGGGAUGCGGAAUUCCAGGUGUAGCGGUGAAAUGCGUAGAUAUCUGGAGGAACACCGGUGGCGAAGGCGGCAUCCUGGACCAACACUGACGCUGAUGAGCGAAAAGCCAGGGGAGCAAACGGG